rnacentral:rRNA from 1 species
UGAAACUGAAUUGUCUGUGAAGAUGCAGACUAUUUGCGGUAAGACGGAAAGACCCCGUGCACCUUUACUACAUUUUUACAUUGUUGAGAGAAAAAAUAUGUGUAGAAAUAGGUGGGAGCUUAAGAGAAAAUUUUUAUUAAAAAUUUUCGAAGCGUUAGUGAAAUACCACUCUUAUUUUUUCUUGCAACUAAUCUUUUAUUAAAAGAGACAGUGUAAACUUGGUAGUUUGACUGGGGCGGUCUCCUCCUAAAGAGUAACGGGGGAGUACACAAGGUCAACUCAAAUUGGAUUAACCAAUUGAAGAGCGUAAUGGUAAAAGUUGGCCUGACUACAAGACUUACAAGUCGAGUAGGAACGUAAGUUUGUCAUAGUGAUCCGGUGAUUUUGUGUGGAAAAGUCAUCGCUCAACGGAUAAAAGGUACGCCGGGGAUAACAGGCUAAUGAUUCCUAAGAGUCCUUAUCGACGGAAUCGUUUGGCACCUCGAUGUCGGCUCAUCAUUUCCUGGAGCUGAAGAAGGUUCCAAGGGUUCGGCUGU